rnacentral:rRNA from 1 species
UACGUAGGGUGCAAGCGUUUGUCCGGAAUUAUUGGGCGUAAAGGGCUCGUAGGCGGCGUGUCGCGUCGGGAGUGAAAGACCGGGGCUUAACCCCGGUUCUGCUUCCGGUACGGGCAUGCUGGAGUGUGGCAGGGGAGACUGGAAUUCCUGGUGGUAGCGGUGGAAUGCGCAGAUAUCAGGAGGAACACCGGUGGCGAAGGCGGGUCUCUGGGCCAUUACUGACGCUGAGGAGCGAAAGCGUGGGGAGCGAACAGG